CAGCCGCCGCGGUAAAACGAACCGUGCGAACGUUAUUCGGAAUCACUGGGCUUAAAGCGCGUGUAGGCGGCUCGGCGCGUCGGCUGCUGAAAUCCCCCGGCUCAACCGGGGAACGGGCACCGAUACGGCCGGGCUGGAGGGGGGUAGGGGGGCCUGGAACUUCCGGUGGAGCGGUGAAAUGCGUUGAGAUCGGAAGGAACGCCCGCGGCGAAAGCGAGGCCCUGGACCCUUUCUGACGCUGAGACGCGAAAGCCAGGGGAGCGAACGGGAUUAGAUACCCCUGUAGUCCCUGUCUCUUAUA
rnacentral:rRNA from 1 species